rnacentral:rRNA from 1 species
UACGAAGGGGGCUAGCGUUGCUCGGAAUCACUGGGCGUAAAGGGUGCGUAGGCGGGUCUUUAAGUCAGGGGUGAAAUCCUGGAGCUCAACUCCAGAACUGCCUUUGAUACUGUAGAGCUUGAGUUCGGGAGAGGUGAGUGGAACUGCGAGUGUAGAGGUGAAAUUCGUAGAUAUUCGCAAGAACACCAGUGGCGAAGGCGGCUCACUGGCCCGAUACUGACGCUGAGGGAGCGAAAAGCGUGGGG